AAAUAUGUUAAAGGAGCAUUUGUUGCGGCGCAUGGGAAAGUGCAAUGAAGAGAGAUCGAGCGAGAGAGAGAAAGAGAGAGAGAAAGCGAGAGAGAGAGAGAAAGUGAAUGCCGAAGAUCGCGCGCGUUUCUGCGCUACGAAACGGGAAUAUAAACGUCGCGAGUGUGUACGCGAAUAUCGGCGAAAAUGGUUUUCCCUCCUCUAUCCCCUUUACUUCUCUCCCUUUCGCAACGCGUUUUUUCUAUGUUUUUCCUAUUUCUUUUUUUCCCCACCCUCUCUCAUCCGACUGAGUCUUAUACGGUGUCUGUAUAGCGAGCAACUUGACAGUCGCUGUGAAGAAAAAAACGCGUCGCUGAGUGUAGCAGCAAAUUGAACGUGCCAUAACAACACCAUGCCAAUAUUAUUGAUAAUACAUAUUGUUUUUAUACUUUACGAUCCGUUCAACAACGUCGUUCUGUCAGUCAGUCAGUCAGUCAGUCAGCCAGUGAAGCACGGGGCCUAUCGACGCGAAUUUGCCCUCAACUCUCUUAUACAUCUUCUUUUCUCUUCAACCACCGUUCUCCUUCACCCCUUCUUUCCCGCCCUUCUUCGUUUGUCGAUCGAACUCGACGAGCAGACUGAACAAAGAUACCAACAAAGAAGCAUAUGAAAGCGUCCCUCACCUAUUUUGAUGAAUCUUGGUUAUGUUAUAGACAGCUAUGCUGUUUCGCACACGUAUUCGAAGCCCAUCUGAAUCUGCAGGGAUACUUCCACAUGUUUCCUUCUAAGGAGCUACUUCUUGGUAAUCUUAAUGUAAGCCUCAUUUCUAUCUCGCUCGUCGAACGUUCUGUAUGUUACCGAAACGAAUCGAGCCGUGGGCAAAGCAAGAGAACGCGAUUCACUCGUCAUUCAGAGCACUUGGGCAAACUUAUCGCGUACGUAUAAGAAUACGUGAGAAAGGAAGAGAAAUGCUGACUGCGGAAUGCGUUCGAUCGAGGAAGCGAAGUACCUCUACCGAGUAAGUACGGGGCAAGGACGACCAGCGACAUCUCAUAAGACGAGCACGAGGGAAAAAGGAGACGGCAGACCAGCGGCGUCACCAUCACCACCAGGUCGUACUGACAGACGUAGCCACUAGACGAGAAUACAAGACUCGCGAAGUCGCGCGAUGUAUUAUUGUAUGCGUGCGUGUAUGCAACGAUGACUGCACUGUACGAGGAGGGUGACGCGAGCGGAGGUGAUAGUCCUAUCAGCGGAUAAUCGGACAUGUCAAUUGACGCGCCCUUGAACGCCAAGUAUGGCGAAGAUUCUCCUCGAAGAGGAGGACGGUAUAUUCUUGAAGCUCGCUCGCGUCACGCUACCUCCCUCUUCACUUUGCUAGGAACGAGACUACGUCGCGAAGGAUUCGGCGGCGGCGGCGGCGGCGGCGACGGAGUGCCUGCGGUGACACCGGAAGUUGCGUUCGAUAUCUCGCGGGGGAACGUUGUUGAUGCAAGGAGAUGCGUGCUUCCGGGAGAAUGCGAUCCUCGGCGGGCAAACUCGCUCGAUAUGGCCUACAGUCCGCACAAGAGGAGGGUAUCGAGAGCAGUAUGCGCGUCGUUAAAUCCUACGGGUCGCGGGUGAUACCCCCCUUUUCCUCCCUUCAUUAAGGCAGACGAGGUGGAAAGGUCCUCGAGCGGACAAGUCGGAUUCGGAGCUCGUGUCUCGCUUCAAGGAGUGGUUGUACCAUAUUGUAAAGUAUCAAUCGCGACAGUUCUCAGCUGCGUUGUACAGUGUUUUCUAAGUAUCUAGUUGAUAGAGUGUGUAAUUGAGGAGGAACAUUGUAUUUACAUUAAUAAGUGAUCUGUAUCAAAUUCAUUCUCGUAUAGCCGUACUCUUACUCAUGUAGAUGCUAAAAGUGAUUUGUGUCAUAAAGAAAAACCUAUAAAUAAAAUUAGCACUUUGAGAACGUU